rnacentral:rRNA from 1 species
UACGGGGGGGGCAAGCGUUGUUCGGAAUUACUGGGCGUAAAGGGCGCGUAGGCGGCCUGCUAAGUCGGACGUGAAAUCCCUCGGCUCAACCGGGGAACUGCGUCCGAUACUGCUGGGCUAGAGUCCGGAAGAGGCGAGUGGAAUUCCUGGUGUAGCGGUGGAAUGCGCAGAUAUCAGGAGGAACACCAACGGCGAAGGCAGCUCGCUGGGACGGUACUGACACUAAGGCGCGAAAGCGUGGGGAGCGAACAGG